CCUACGGGAGGCAGCAGUGGGGAAUCUUGCACAAUGGAGGAAACUCUGAUGCAGCGAUGCCGCGUGAGUGAAGAAGGCCUUUGGGUUGUAAAGCUCUUUCGUCGGGGAAGAAAAUGACUGUACCCGAAUAAGAAGGUCCGGCUAACUUCGUGCCAGCAGCCGCGGUAAUACGAAGGGACCUAGCGUAGUUCGGAAUUACUGGGCUUAAAGAGUUCGUAGGUGGUUGAAAAAGUUGGUGGUGAAAUCCCAGAGCUUAACUCUGGAACUGCCAUCAAAACUUUUCAGCUAGAGUAUGAUAGAGGAAAGCAGAAUUUCUAGUGUAGAGGUGAAAUUCGUAGAUAUUAGAAAGAAUACCAAUUGCGAAGGCAGCUUUCUGGAUCAUUACUGACACUGAGGAACGAAAGCAUGGGUAGCGAAGAGGAUUAGAUACCCUCGUAGUCCAUGCCGUAAACGAUGUGUGUUAGACGUUGGAAAUUUAUUUUCAGUGUCGCAGGGAAACCGAUAAACACACCGCCUGGGGAGUACGACCGCAAGGUUAAAACUCAAAGGAAUUGACGG
rnacentral:rRNA from 1 species